GGUUAAAAAUUUCAUCUAUUUGUACUGUUUUAACCUGACAUGACUGACGAAAUAACUAAAUCAUAACACAUGAUGUGCUAUAUGUAUCUCAUGCUGAUAUACAGGGACAAGUUUUUAACAGUAAAAAUGGAUAAAAAAUUUUAACA
rfam:Gossypium raimondii Chr12_contig_854, whole genome shotgun sequence.